GUCGAGCGGUAGAGAGAAGCUUGCUUCUCUUGAGAGCGGCGGACGGGUGAGUAAUGCCUAGGAAUCUGCCUGGUAGUGGGGGAUAACGUUCGGAAACGGACGCUAAUACCGCAUACGUCCUACGGGAGAAAGCAGGGGACCUUCGGGCCUUGCGCUAUCAGAUGAGCCUAGGUCGGAUUAGCUAGUUGGUGAGGUAAUGGCUCACCAAGGCGACGAUCCGUAACUGGUCUGAGAGGAUGAUCAGUCACACUGGAACUGAGACACGGUCCAGACUCCUACGGGAGGCAGCAGUGGGGAAUAUUGGACAAUGGGCGAAAGCCUGAUCCAGCCAUGCCGCGUGUGUGAAGAAGGUCUUCGGAUUGUAAAGCACUUUAAGUUGGGAGGAAGGGUUGUAGAUUAAUACUCUGCAAUUUUGACGUUACCGACAGAAUAAGCACCGGCUAACUCUGUGCCAGCAGCCGCGGUAAUACAGAGGGUGCAAGCGUUAAUCGGAAUUACUGGGCGUAAAGCGCGCGUAGGUGGUUUGUUAAGUUGGAUGUGAAAUCCCCGGGCUCAACCUGGGAACUGCAUUCAAAACUGACUGACUAGAGUAUGGUAGAGGGUGGGUGGAAUUUCCUGUGUAGCGGUGAAAUGCGUAGAUAUAGGAAGGAACACCAGUGGCGAAGGCGACCACCUGGACUAAUACUGACACUGAGGUGCGAAAGCGUGGGGAGCAAACAGGAUUAGAUACCCUGGUAGUCCACGCCGUAAACGAUGUCAACUAGCCGUUGGAAGCCUUGAGCUUUUAGUGGCGCAGCUAACGCAUUAAGUUGACCGCCUGGGGAGUACGGCCGCAAGGUUAAAACUCAAAUGAAUUGACGGGGGCCCGCACAAGCGGUGGAGCAUGUGGUUUAAUUC
rnacentral:rRNA from 1 species